rnacentral:tRNA from 7 species
CCGCCCGUAGCUCAGCUGGAUAGAGCACCAGUCUUCGGAACUGGGUGUCGCACGUUCGAAUCGUGCCGGGCGGGCCA